rnacentral:lncRNA from 1 species
CAGGAAAUACGAAACAAGUAGAUACUUCCUCAUUUGUAAAGAUUAAAAGAUACAUGUAAGAGAAGUUGUAGUAAGUAAUAUUUAAAUUGGAUUUUUUUUCUAUGGGUUUGCUAAAUUCUUUACUUUUAAUUUUUCAAUUUCUGUAAAAUUUCAAUUCAACGCAUGUUUGUUGAAACGUUUUACUUACCAACCAACUUACAUGUGUAUGGUACAUUAUGGGGUCUUAUUUGUAGAAAAAGCAUAUGAGUUAUCAACAAGCGUACCGUUCUUCAUGAAUUUUUAUAUGAAGAAUUAACUGUUUAAAUAAAAAUGGAAGUAGAGAGAUUUUCUGAGAUCCGCCAUCAAUAUCUGCAGGAUGAAACAUUAAAGUAUUAGACAGAAAAUGUCGAAUAUAUACCGACUAUGAGGUGGUGCAUAUACAUGUAUAUGUUACGGAAAAACGCCCGUUUAACGCACCUAACGCAAUUACGGUAAGAUGUCAUCUCAUUAUCCGCCUGUGUUGUACAAGAACAGAAUUGUUAAGAUUAGUUCAUGAUAUGACUAGUUGUAAGUUAAAGAUAACCGUUGGGAGUUUUGUUUUGUUUGAAAAGGACAAAGCAUUCCACAAGACAGAGUGUUGUAAAAUAAUCUUGUGAUAAGAAUGCUAAAGGAGUGAAGUCGUUUUUUAAAUGCGUGUGUACCUUUUUGUUUUUCAUAUUUCAAUUUUUGUUAUCCCAAAACACGUCUUAAUGAACAUGUUCAGUUUAACAUAUGCAAGGUUCAUGUAAGCAUAAAUAAUUGUUUUUACCAAAAAGGACAUUUAUCAUAUUUUAAAACUUACAAUAGACCUAUCCAUAUUUAAAAAAAACAUGAUCAUAUCACAAAAGGAUAAGACGAACAACCAACAUAUUGUAUAGUACAGAACCCCUUAAUACCUUUUUUUUUUCUCUGAGGAAUAAGAAAAGAAAAUAUACUAGCGAAAAUUUAAACAAACAAUAGAAAAUAACGCAUUCUCUAAAGUUCCUAAUUUGGUAAGGGUACAAAGAAUAUCCUGCGCAUGACAACUUUAAAAAGUCAUUGGAAAAUCUUAUCACUACCGUGUAUACUUACAGGCACGUCUUUGUUUAAUUUACAGUUAUGAAAUCCUUGGAGACUUUUCUCACAAUAUCACAAAGGAACGGACAUAAGAGUAGAUAAAUGACCUGUGCUAUUGCAGGUCAUACAUUUGUAAAAGCAUACAGAUUUGGUCAAUAAAUAAAGGAGAUCAGAUAUAAAAAAUUAAAUAAUAUACAUAUAACUGUUUACACAAAAUAUACCAUCAAUUUUGUUUCAAUUUGCUCUCUUUUCCCCCCUUUUAUAAGAUAAAAAUGACUUAAUGGUUAAAAUAGGAAGUGAACUAAUAUUAUAUACUAUUCGAUAGAAAUACAUUGAAUGAAAUAUGACAUAAUAAAAUGAAACAGGAAGUAAACACAAAAGUAGUAGAUAUUUCCCCUCUUGCAAAUAUUAAAAGAUAUACAUAUAAGAUAAGUAAGUUGUAGUAAGUGACAUUUGAUUAUUAUGCAUUUCCUAAAUAAUGGAUGGCAAAUGGUAAGCUUAACUUUUAAUUUUUUGUUUUCUGUAAAAUGUGUAAUACCACGUCACAUCCAGUUGUAUACGGAAAAGGGUAAAAAAAUUCCCUUGAAUUUGACAGUUGUAGGUAAUUGAUACUAUAUUUUAUUGUAGCAAAAAAUUUCUGAGUCAUCAACAUAUAUAUAUAUUUAACAAUGCCAUCAAAGUGCGAGGUUUGGCAUGCCACAAAACCAGGUUCAACCACCAUUUUUUUCUUUAAAAAUGUCCUGUACCAAGUCAGGAAAAUGGCCAUUGUUAUAUCAUAGUUCGUUUCUGUGUGUGUAACAUUUUUACGUUGUGUUUCCGUUGUGUCGUUUGUUUUAUCCUAUAUUUGAGUGUACUAUAAGACGUGUUACGGUACUUUUCUAUCCCAAAUUCAUGUUUUUGGUUUUGAUGUUAUAUUGGUUAUUCUCAUCGGAUUUUGUCUAAUGCUUAGUCCGUUGCUGUGUGUGUUACAUUUUAAUGUUGUGUCGUUGUUCCCCUCUAAUAUUUAAUGCGUUUCCCUCAGUUUUGGUUUGUUACCCCGAUUUUGUUUUUUGUCCAUAGAUUUAUGAGUUUUGAACAGCGGUAUACUACUGUUGCCUUUAUAUAUGGUAUUUCAGAGCACCAUUAUUUUUUGGGGGGUUUCUGUAAAAUGUAGAAAAUAGAAUAAACAAUAAUGAGAUGGAAAUUUUUUGGUUUACUUCGAGUGAUGGUUAUGUUCUUAUAUGCAAUGAACCGUUACAAUGUGGAAAGCGACAAUUUGUCUAUAGAACUGGACAGGUUAACAAUUUACUCAUGCCAAGUAUUUUUUUUUAAAUUGAAACAAAGGUAAACAUUGCACGAUUUUGCAGAAAGUGCAAAUUCAACAAAGACUAAUGGGGGAAAAUCAAUGGUGGUAUUAGACCUUUAAUAUGUUUUUUACUAAUCGACUGGUAUAAAUAUGGCGCUAAUGGGGUCAUAUAUUUAAAAAGAGUCGCAUAUGACAUUUCAACAAGGGUGCAUUCCUCUGAUAAUUUAAUCUGAAGAAUUGAUUGUUUUAACACAAAUGGUCGUAGAGAGAGCAUCUGAUAUCUUCCAUCAACAUCAAUAUGUAAACCUGAGAAAAAAUUAUAAUUUUAUUAGUUAUCAAAGGUACCAUGAUUAUAAUUUAAUCCACCAGACGCGCGUCUCUUCUACGUUAGACUCGUCAGUGCCGCUCAGAUCAAACACGUUAUAAAGCCAAACAAGUACAAAUUUGAAGAGAAACGAGAACCCAAAUUCCAAAAAUUUGUGCCAAAUACAGUUUAGGUAAUUUAUGCCUUGGAUAUGAAAAUCCUUAGUUUUUAGAAAGAUUCUUACUUUUGUAAACAGGACAUUUAUAAAAAUGACAAUACAAUUGAUAUUCAUGACACCACUGAAGUGCUGAUUACUGGUUUGGUGAUACAUUCCGGAAAUAUCCACAAGCAGUGGCAUUAACCCAGUGGUGUAAAUAGUUGUUUAAGGUACCAGGAUUAUAAUCUAAUACGCCAGACGCGCGUUUUGUCUACAUAAGACCCAACAGUGACGCUCAGAUCAUAAUAUUCAUAAAGCCAAACAAGUACAAAGUUGAAGACCAUUGAGGACCCAAAUUGAAAAAAAGUUGUGCCAAAUACCGCUAAGGUAAUCUAUGCCUCUGAUAGGAUAUCGAAACAAGUAUGGGAUAAAAACGUUUCGUAGUGGACACUAUCACUACCAUGCAGUCAUUUUUUACUCUUUUUUUUAAAUUAUAUUCGUGCAAAACAAAUAACAAGGGUUAGUUUCAUGUAAUUUACAGUAUGUUUUAUCAACUACGAAACUCAUCAAAGUGUCCACUACGUAAGAUGAGUUGUACCUUAAUAUGUGAAGUACUGGCUUAUCUUAAUCGAUAAAAAAAUAGUUCUCUAAUUCAGAAAAAAUGAGAUCUUUCUAGUAUAUAAAGUAAAACAAACUGGAAUGUCAAUAGAAUACAUUAAAAUGCCAUAAGAUAUGCGUUUAGAAGCAGUUUCGUAGUCCCCUACGAAACAGUACAUAAAUUAUGAAAAACAUAUCAUUUGGAAGAGUAUUUAAGAUUGCAUUUUUUAUUUACAAACAGGUCUAUAACAGAGGUAUUAAAACUUAUUCUUGAAAUAAAAUUUUUGACAAGUUGCUUUUCCAUUUUUUAGGUCUGAAAUUCACAAUUUUAUUGACAAACGCCCAUAUAUGGUGGGAAUUUGUUAUCUUUCCAAUUGUUGUAUUUUUUCAACCUAACCGCAUGAGACUUUAUGUAAGUAGACAUCGCUAUAUUUAAAAUUAGUUUUAUCAUUUUUGACGGUUUCCAUAUGGCUGAACAAUCCAGUGAAAAUGUAUGUCAAACGGCUUUAAUGUGUCAGUUUUGUGAUCAACAAAAUGUAAAAUGCAAAUGCGAGGACUGCGAUAUAUUUCUAUGUGAUUCGUGUAAAGAAAAAAAUCAUACAAGACUUAAGUCAUCAGAUAAUCAUAGGAUAGUGUCCAUUAAAGAUAUCGGAAAGGUAAUGAUAAUCUUCUUAAAAUUUGCGUUCAGCUGAUGAAAAUCAAUUAAAUCUUCCGAAGCCCAAAACUAUUUUUUGACAAAAAAACAUUUCCAUAUUCUGGUUCUCUAAUAUGAAAGAGUUUACCAC